UACGGAGGGUGCAAGCGUUAUCCGGAUUCACUGGGCUUAAAGGGUGCGUAGGAGGGCAGGUAAGUCAGUGGUGAAAUCUUCUCGCUUAACGAGAAAACUGCCAUUGAUACUGCUAGGCUUGAGUACAGAUGCCGUUGGCGGAAUAUGACAUGUAGUGGUGAAAUACAUAGAGAUGUCAUAGAACACCGAUUGCGAAGGCAGCUAACGAAACUGUAACUGACACUGAGGCUCGAAAGUGCGGGGAUCAAACAGG
rnacentral:rRNA from 1 species